rnacentral:tRNA from 1 species
GGGUGGUUGGCUCAGUGGUUAGAGGUAAGGUCUCGUAACCGAAAGGUCGCGGGAUCGAAUCCCCCUAGAGGCUG